GUAUGUGGCUGUGUAUGGACAUGUGGAAUUGUUUCAUGUUCGUAUCUACGGGGCUUUUGUAUGAAAAGGUUUACGGAGUAGGAAUGGGAUGAGGUAACAUCUCGGAGAAAAUGACUUUUCGUCUUUACUCAGGUAGAUACAUGCAUACGUGGUACAAGCAUAUUUGCUAGUCAAGUACACCUGGUAUCUCAUACCUCAAUGCCAAAUAGGGUACAAAUGACGGACUGAAUAGUUACAGAGCAAGGUGGUUGUUUUAGCAAAAGAUCAUUCCGGGAGAUAAGCACUAUGAGAUGCAUAUAUUUUUACCGUCGUUUCAGAAUGAGACUUUGAGAAGCCACAUGCACCUAGAUGACUGAACCCAAUCAUUGACACGGGCUCUGGGAAGUGUUUUGUUUCUUGGUAUGUACGUAUGAUCGCUUUGUAUGCCGAAUUUCCUCUUCUUUCUACGUGCAUGAGGUAUUUGAAUUCGCCACGGAACUGAGGAAGUGAUGAAUGAUCAUGGGCACCACUGCAGCUAAGCAAUGUGUAUGUGAUCUAGAGCACCGACUCACAUGAUCCUACUCGUGCCUGUAUACCACCUUUACUUUCUCCGGAGUAUAUGACCUAUCAAAACAAUGAAGUCGUGGCUGAAGGAGUCAACUCGCGUCGAGCCGUCGACCACAGCCUAGACUUACCUGCCAAGUUGGACUGUGCAAAUCAAAUCGUUUCUUCUUCUUUGGUGCAGAUUAUUAUACUCUGGAAAAAUUGGAAUUUAUGUUGACAUUGCUUGCCAAGUCACAAGCCUCAAAAGCAUGGGAGAUUAUCAUGUCCUCCGGACAGGAAUAACAUGAGUUGUGUGAUGUGUUUUUCUCCGAGACAAGUGCCAUGAGUCAAUGGGAAAUGUACAAGCCCAGAUGAUAUUCGAUUGUCGAUGACUCGAUGAGCCCUUAAAAGGUAGACGAAGAGUGCCUGACUCGUUAGUUAGUCUCCAAGUGAGUGUUCGGUAAUUAGUUAGUUUGCUGGCUCGGUAGGAUUACUACAUACUACGUAGGCGUACCACUCCGUAGUAUUUCUGUCUCUUCUCAUUGAAGUAAUUACAGCCAGCGGCUUGGCCCAUAGCAGCGAUGACGCCGGUGCAAAUUAGAUUACCAUUUAGGAUAAUCUCUACCACAUUCGUCACAUACUGGCAAAUUUUUAAAUUGCUAGCGAGAUUCAAGAUUGAUGUGAUUUGUGUGAACACGGAAGUACAUACUCGAAAACUCGGUCUUAGUACAAUCUCGUGAAGAAAUCAGAUCUACGUAGUAUUUUCAACUGAAAGGGGCUCCAAGGGACAAAGCGAGGCUUCCGUCUGAAGUUGAACGAACCAUCCGGGGUCCAUAAAGAGACCUGCAGGAACUCGGCACUGAGGAAACAAGUCAUGGAACAUUAAAAAGACACAUGUAGUUACGUAUAUCGGAUGAUAUUAAGCAAACAAGCGAUGUCACCGAAAAUAGUUGAUUCUUUCAAAGACUCCGAAAGACCGAAAGACUUGAUGUUGUGCACGUACUUCUCCAACCAUAAUGCCACGUCCAGGCAUCGU
rnacentral:lncRNA from 1 species